GACGAACGCUGGCGGCGUGCCUAAUACAUGCAAGUAGAACGCACAGUUUAUACCGUAGCUUGCUACACCAUAGACUGUGAGUUGCGAACGGGUGAGUAACGCGUAGGUAACCUGCCUGGUAGCGGGGGAUAGCUAUUGGAAACGAUAGCUAAUACCGCAUAAUAUUGAUUAUUGCAUGAUAAUUGAUUGAAAGAUGCUAUUGCAUCACUACCAGAUGGACCUGCGUUGUAUUAGCUAGUAGGUGAGGUAACGGCUCACCUAGGCGACGAUACAUAGCCGACCUGAGAGGGUGAUCGGCCACACUGGGACUGAGACACGGCCCAGACUCCUACGGGAGGCAGCAGUAGGGAAUCUUCGGCAAUGGACGAAAGUCUGACCGAGCAACGCCGCGUGAGUGAAGAAGGUUUUCGGAUCGUAAAGCUCUGUUGUAAGAGAAGAACGGGUGUGAGAGUGGAAAGUUCACACUGUGACGGUAUCUUACCAGAAAGGGACGGCUAACUACGUG
rnacentral:rRNA from 1 species